CAGCCGCCGCGGUAACACAGAGGGUGCAAGCGUUAAUCGGAAUUACUGGGCGUAAAGCGCGCGUAGGUGGUUUGUUAAGUUGGAUGUGAAAUCCCCGGGCUCAACCUGGGAACUGCAUCCAAAACUGGCAAGCUAGAGUAUGGUAGAGGGUGGUGGAAUUUCCUGUGUAGCGGUGAAAUGCGUAGAUAUAGGAAGGAACACCAGUGGCGAAGGCGACCACCUGGACUGAUACUGACACUGAGGUGCGAAAGCGUGGGGAGCAAACAGGAUUAGAUACCCGAGUAGUCUCUGUCUCUUAUAC
rnacentral:rRNA from 1 species